GCCUGGGCGCGGUGGCGCUCGCCAGUAAUCCCAGCAACUCCGGAGGCUGAGGCAGGAGGUUUGCAAGUUCGAGACCAGCCUCAGCAAUUUAGGGAGGCUCUAAGCAACUUAGCGAGACCCUGUCUCAA
rnacentral:sRNA from 1 species